AACCGUGACAUGUUGACACUUUAUUUCCACACAUUUCCUGCGAGCGAGCCGCUCAACUUAUCUUCCUCGUUUUGACUUCCCCUUUGCGGCAAUGCAGCCGAAAUGCUCCGACCGAUUGUCAGUGUCAGCUCGUCGCAGUCAAAGGACGGGAGCGGCGAGAGUCCUCGGCCCUCAGCAGCAACACCCACACGCCGCAGGAGUCAAGUCUGAUUCGGGGAGAUCCGGCCCCCCACUUAGUGUAUUUGACAAGCUGAGUCGGACACUCUGAUUCUGUGAGUGUCAGUUUGUCAAAUACCCGAAGUGAGGCGUCACUGGCCUACCAGACGACGCCGACCUCAACCGAGAAGCCAAGUCAACGAGCCAGGAGGGAACCUCUUCUCUACCGAUCUGUUCCAUUUGUAUCUUAUUGAUGAAUCACGAAGGAAAUCGGCCAAAAGCUUGUGUCCAUGUGAACAAAUUAUUUGAGGUGGUUUAUGAAAGAAUAUGUCGUGUGGUACGACUGAAUGUCAAAAUAUGUGAAUAAUACACAAUGGAAGAAAUUCUGCUCAAUUAUUAUUGCUGAACUUUGUGUGUGUGCGCGUGCGUGUGUGUGUGUGUUACUGGAAACAAAUACUGUGAAAUCAUUACCGCUGUUAUUGAUUUCUUUUCACCAUUAUGAAAUCCUAUCUGAACCACUUUGGUACCAUGCAAAUAAAAAUACACGAAUAUAGGUUUUCUGCUGAGGUCAAAGGGGGUUGCGCUCAGGUUCAUCAUGACACACUUCUCAAAGACACAAAACGCUUAUCAGCCUUUUGCGCGCUUCCUGUUCUUGUGGACAAGCCGGGUUAUAAUUGUUUUGGAUUUUUAAUUUUUUUUAAAUUAUGAUUACUUUUUAUUUCAUUUGACUUCAGUGUUUUAUCUUCAGUUAGUUUUAUUUUUUUAAUUAAGUUUUUAUGAUUCAAAAAUCCUUCUUUUACGUUUUUUGUUAGUUUUAUUAUUAGUUUUAGGUUUUUUUAUAUAGAGAGUAAAAACUUGAAAACAACGUCACUCAGCAUUGUGUAAUAAAACAAUCUAUAAUUCUCA